rnacentral:rRNA from 1 species
UACGAAGGGUGCAAGCGUUACUCGGAAUCACUGGGCGUAAAGCGUGCGUAGGCGGUUCGUUAAGUCUGCUGUGAAAGCCCUGGGCUCAACCUGGGAACUGCAGUGGAUACUGGCGGACUAGAGUGUGAUAGAGGAUGGUGGAAUUCCCGGUGUAGCGGUGAAAUGCGUAGAGAUCGGGAGGAACACCAGUGGCGAAGGCGGCCAUCUGGAUCAACACUGACGCUGAGGCACGAAAGCGUGGGGGAGCAAACAGG